UCACGAGCAUCAGAGGCACAUCGUGGACAUGCGCGGUGAGGGACAGCCAGUUAUCACCCUCGCGCAAACCCUGCGCUGUCUGAAUAACGCGAGCUAGCUGUCUCUAAUGCGACUUGCGACGUUUGAAAAUGUUUCAAAUUGAGCCCCGGCUUUUCAUCAUCCGAUGAGACGAGACGAUCAGUUUCUCAUGAGCUGCGGGGGAACCCUGUUGAUCUGAAGAUGUCAGAAAGAGAGUGCUGGUAAUUCAGUACCCAAAGAGUUGAAGAUGAUGGACACACAGCGUGCUUUGCUGGCGGUGGAGCGGCUGCAGGAGAGGCUGAAGAAGAAGGGAGAACUGCCUGCUGAGGAAAAACUCAGUCUGCUCAAGAGUGUCUUACAGAGUCCCCUGUUUCACCAGAUACUCAUCAUGCAAGACACCGGACAACAGCAUCAGCAACGACAGGUCAGAGACGAAUAACAUCAUCAUUAUACUGCAUGACCAAAAAAUAAAAAAUAUGG
rnacentral:lncRNA from 1 species